GUAGUCAUAUGCUUGUCUCAAAGAUUAAGCCAUGCAUGUCUAAGUAUAAGCAAUUAUACCGCGAAACUGCGAAUGGCUCAUUAAAUCAGUUAUCGUUUAUUUGAUAGUACCUUACUACAUGGAUAACCGUGGUAAUUCUAGAGCUAAUACAUGCUAAAAAUCCCGACUUCGGAAGGGGUGUAUUUAUUAGAUUAAAAACCAAUGCCCUUCGGGGCUCUCUGGUGAUUCAUAAUAACUUCUCGAAUCGCACGGCCUUGCGCCGGCGAUGGUUCAUUCAAAUUUCUGCCCUAUCAACUUUCGACGGCUGGGUCUUGGCCAGCCGUGGUGACAACGGGUAACGGAGGGUUAGGGCUCGACCCCGGAGAAGGAGCCUGAGAAACGGCUACUACAUCCAAGGAAGGCAGCAGGCGCGCAAAUUACCCAAUCCCGACACGGGGAGGUAGUGACAAUAAAUACUGAUACAGGGCUCUUUCGGGUCUUGUAAUUGGAAUGAGUACAAUUUAAAUCCCUUAACGAGGAACAAUUGGAGGGCAAGUCUGGUGCCAGCAGCC
rnacentral:rRNA from 1 species